AAAACGGCUCUUUUCAGAGCCACCACAUUCACAAAAGAAUAUUACG
rnacentral:ncRNA from 1 species